CUCCUGGAAACUUCCUCUGACCCACACAGUCUCCAUGGCACGAUCCUGCACUUUCCCUGUCACAGUCCUUACUGCUCUCAGUGAGUGCUCACUUGUCCACCCCCAGGGCUGGCAGCUCAGAAGCCACAGUUCCUACUUUCUAGAAGUCUCUUCUCUUGAGCAUCCUAACCCGUUGUAGAAGGAAUGACAGUGCAUCAGUGCCAAUCUCGCUGGGCCCUUAAAGAGAACACAGACGCAGAAGAACCAGGCGUGAAUCCUUUUGCUGAAGCUUUGCUGUGCAGUGUCUAGUCUACAUAACAAGGAACACAGCAGAAGGAAACUUCACUCCAGUGGAACCCAUUGAAGAGUCCUCAUGAGCUCCACUCACUCUGAUUUCCUUUGAAGCAAACAGAUUCAUCACUGACAGCCCCAGGAU
rnacentral:lncRNA from 1 species